rnacentral:lncRNA from 1 species
CGGAGGAGGAGGAAUUUGAGGAGGAGGAGGGUGAAGAAGAGAAGGAAGAAGAAGGAGAGGAGGAGGACUAUGAAGAAGAGGAACAGGAUGAAGACAAAGAGGAGGACGAGGAGGAGGCUGAGGAUGAGGACAAGGAGGAGAAGGAAAAGGACAGCAAAGAGGAUACAGAAAUUGCUUGUGGCGCCUGUUCUGCUGAGCAUAGAGUAUGGGAUACGGCUACUGAGUAUAAACUGGAGUACUUUUUUGGAGAAAGUCUCCCAAUGUCUUUAUUGUUCUUCUCUAAAGAAGCUACUGAAUAUAAGUAUGAAAAUUCUGAUGAAGAGGCUCAAGAAGCUGGAGGCAAGAAGGAGAGAGAAGAGGAUGAAAAUGAAGAACUGGAAGAAGGACUAGAAAAGGAUCCGGACUCAGCAGAGGACAGCACCUUCAAAAAAUCCAGGUAUUCAUGUAUAGUCUUGAGUAUUAACUAACCACUUCUGACAUACACCUUUUACUAGCAGCGUUAUGUUUUUAAUUUUUCUCUGUAAGCUAAGUAAGCAAAAUAUUGGUAAAAUUUUAAAAAGUUUAAUGCUAAUAAUGUAUUUUCAUAUUGGAUAAAUAGAAGGCAAUAUGUUCGGAAAUGUAUUUCAUUCGUAGCUACAAGUCCUUUAUCUUGUAGCUCUAAGAUUGCUACAGAUGGGAAAUCUAUUAGACCCAGUAGUGGAGAUCGAUAUUUGUUUACAGAAAGGUCACGAGAAGAAGGAGCAGCAAAGUGGCUGGGCCAUGCACUAGUUUGACCUUAAUCGCUCGACCACAGAAAUGUAGUCUCUUGUACUGAUAAUGUCUUUGAGAAGGUUGACUACUGUAUUUACAAAGUAG